rnacentral:rRNA from 1 species
UAUGUCAGUAGUGAAAGCGUGUGGCUCAACCAUAUACACAUUACUGAAACUGCUUAGCUAGAGGACGAGAGAGGUACCUGGAAUUCCCAGUGUAGGAGUGAAAUCCGUAGAUAUUGGGAGGAACACCGAUGGCGUAGGCAGGGUACUGGCUCGUUCCUGACACUAAGGCACGAAAGCGUGGGUAGCAAACGGGAUUAGAUACCCCGGUAGUCCACGCCGUAAACGAUGGAUGCUA